rnacentral:rRNA from 1 species
AGAGUUUGAUCAUGGCUCAGAACGAACGCUGGCGGCGUGGAUAAGACAUGCAAGUCGAACGCUAAUUUCAGGGUAGCAAUAUUCUGAGGUUGGAGUGGCGCAAGGGCGCGUAACACGUGGGUAAUUUGCCGUGAAGUUGGGAAUAACUCGCUGAAAGGCGAGCUAAUGCCGAAUGUGAAAAUCGGGAGGCAUCUUUUGAUUUUCAAAGUUGGGGACCGCAAGGCCUGACGCUUCACGAUAAGCCCGCGGCCUAUCAGCUAGUUGGUGAGGUAACGGCUCACCAAGGCUAAGACGGGUAGCUGGUCUGAGAGGACGACCAGUCACACUGGAACUGAGACACGGUCCAGACACCUACGGGUGGCAGCAGUCGAGAAUUUUUCUCAAUGGGCGAAAGCCUGAAGGAGCGACGCCGCGUGGGGGAUGAAGGGCUUCGGCUCGUAAACCCCUGUCAUUUGCGAACAAACCUUGCGUUUUAAUAGAUCGUAAGCUGAUUGUAGCGAAAGAGGAAGGGACGGCUAACUCUGUGCCAGCAGCCGCGGUAAUACAGAGGUCCCAAGCGUUGUUCGGAUUCACUGGGCGUAAAGGGUGCGUAGGUGGCGGGGUAAGUUUGAUGUGAAAUCUCCGGGCUUAACCCGGAAACUGCAUUGAAUACUAUUUCGCUAGAGGUUUGGAGGGGGGACUGGAAUUCUCGGUGUAGCAGUGAAAUGCGUAGAUAUCGAGAGGAACACCAGUGGCGAAGGCGAGUCCCUGGACAACACCUGACACUGAGGCACGAAAGCUAGGGGAGCAAACAGGAUUAGAUACCCNNGUAGUCC